GAGAGUUUGAUCCUGGCUCAGGACGAACGCUGGCGGCGUGCCUAAUACAUGCAAGUCGAGCGGACAGAAGGGAGCUUGCUCCCGGAUGUUAGCGGCGGACGGGUGAGUAACACGUGGGUAACCUGCCUGUAAGACUGGGAUAACUCCGGGAAACCGGAGCUAAUACCGGAUAGUUCCUUGAACCGCAUGGUUCAAGGAUGAAAGACGGUUUCGGCUGUCACUUACAGAUGGACCCGCGGCGCAUUAGCUAGUUGGUGGGGUAAUGGCUCACCAAGGCGACGAUGCGUAGCCGACCUGAGAGGGUGAUCGGCCACACUGGGACUGAGACACGGCCCAGACUCCUACGGGAGGCAGCAGUAGGGAAUCUUCCGCAAUGGACGAAAGUCUGACGGAGCAACGCCGCGUGAGUGAUGAAGGUUUUCGGAUCGUAAAGCUCUGUUGUUAGGGAAGAACAAGUGCGAGAGUAACUGCUCGCACCUUGACGGUACCUAACCAGAAAGCCACGGCUAACUACGUGCCAGCAGCCGCGGUAAUACGUAGGUGGCAAGCGUUGUCCGGAAUUAUUGGGCGUAAAGGGCUCGCAGGCGGUUUCUUAAGUCUGAUGUGAAAGCCCCCGGCUCAACCGGGGAGGGUCAUUGGAAACUGGGAAACUUGAGUGCAGAAGAGGAGAGUGGAAUUCCACGUGUAGCGGUGAAAUGCGUAGAGAUGUGGAGGAACACCAGUGGCGAAGGCGACUCUCUGGUCUGUAACUGACGCUGAGGAGCGAAAGCGUGGGGAGCGAACAGGAUUAGAUACCCUGGUAGUCCACGCCGUAAACGAUGAGUGCUAAGUGUUAGGGGGUUUCCGCCCCUUAGUGCUGCAGCUAACGCAUUAAGCACUCCGCCUGGGGAGUACGGUCGCAAGACUGAAACUCAAAGGAAUUGACGGGGGC
rnacentral:rRNA from 1 species